rnacentral:tRNA from 1 species
UCCCUGGUGGCUCAGACAGUAAAGAAUCUGCCUGCAAUGCGGGAGACCCAGGUUCGAUCCCUGGAUUGGGAA